rnacentral:rRNA from 1 species
GUAGGUGGCAAGCGUUGUCCGGAAUUAUUGGGCGUAAAGCGCGCGCAGGCGGUUCUUUAAGUCUGAUGUGAAAGCCCACGGCUCAACCGUGGAGGGUCAUUGGAAACUGGAGGACUUGAGUACAGAAGAGGAAAGCGGAAUUCCACGUGUAGCGGUGAAAUGCGUAGAGAUGUGGAGGAACACCAGUGGCGAAGGCGGCUUUCUGGUCUGUAACUGACGCUGAGGCGCGAAAGCGUGGGGAGCAAACAGGAUUAGAUACCCUGGUAGUCCACGCCGUAAACGAUGAGUGCUAAGUGUUAGGGGGGUUUUCCGCCCCCCUUAGUGCUGCAGCUAACGCAUUAAGCACUCCGCCUGGGAGUACGGCCGCAAGGCUG